CGUACCGAGCGGACCGUGCUCUCCCUCAGAAGCGGGCGCGCCGUCCUUCACUCGCGGCCCAAGUACGAGCUACAUAGAGACCUCAGAGGUCAUUUUAUUCGGCCUAACGAAAGAUAGGGACCUACCCGGCAGAUGAUCGAGGAGAAAAACCGUCUUUUCAAGUGACUGAAUGCUUAGGUCCCGCAGUGAGGGGGUUGAUCCUCAGCCCCGUCAGGAGGCGCAAUUUUACAGGAUCGAAAACGCCAUGUGCUCCUCUCUAGAGCUACGGAGAGGAAAGGAUCUGAAGAAUGCAGAAGCUGAUGUGGUGCCUUACAGAUCCACAACCAGAAAAGAUAAAACAGAAUGGGACCACUUGCAUGGGACUUUUUUGUGAGUUCAUGCUGUCUCAGGAAGGACUGCAGCCACUGUGCAUCGAAGUACACACAACCAAAAUUCAUGGAAACCAUUUAGAGGCAAGGGAGAAUUUUGGGUAGUUUCUCCAGGUGAAAGGAGUCAAGACUGUUGUGUAGAAAAUACCAGUUCCUCCCCAACGCUGCAGUGAACAAAUCUAGGAGAGGAAAUAACAUCGACCUAUACGCCUCUGUGUUGAUUUUUAGCUCCAGGUGUGGCACUGGCAGUCAGAUUUUAGGCUGAAACUGCUCUGCUUUGUGUUUGCAGUGCAAGUUCUGAGGGCUCUGGAUGAAAGCAAGAGAAUGGCUUCCAGAAUACACUCUAAAGCAGACAUUCCUGUCUCAUGGAGAAGUCUAGGUUAAAAAAAAUAUAUUUAAGAGGAAGAGUUCUUGUUUUUAAAGACAUUUCUUACUGUUUUUAAAUCUACAGCAAAAGGAUUCUUUUGCAGCUUUUGUCUUUGUUGUCUGUAAAAGUCUAUGAACAGAAUAUUGCUAUUGUUAAAUGCAUUAAUUAGAUAUUAUUAGGUACUAAUUUUUUGUUACAUAAAUAUAAUAACCACAGUUGUAGUGAAGCAGAGAUAUCUAUAGAUAACAUUAUAUUAUGUUAAGCAGCUAUUUACAUUUAUUUAUUUAUUUAUUAAAUGUAGACUUGAACUGAAUAGAAUUCCUGAGGAGUCACUUUGAAAAUUUAGGACACAAAUUUUCCAAGCUAACAGAAUUUAAGGAGUUUUAUUCUCCUUCAGGAAAGGAGGAGAUAAAAAGGGUUUUUGUUUUUUUUUAGUUUCUAAAAAUAAAAAGUGAUUUUACCUAAAAAGUUUCUGUGCUUUACCUGACCUCAGGUUCUGAUGAAAGUUCAGUCUCUCAUUAUUAGCUUUCCUUAAACUGAAUGUCCUGGCCUGAAUGUGAGCUACUUUCCACAGAUUAGAAUUAGGCUUCUUCCAGUUAUAAUGCAUAUGACUCCUAAUAGCAGUAUGUAUUUUUAAAACCAAACUGGUGAAGUUGUGGCACUUUACAUACCUCAGUAUUUUUUCCAUGGAAUAACAUGUUCAAAAAAACCCAGACUAUGAAGGAAGAAUAAAGCAACACUUCUUCAGUCUUACUAAUCAGGAAAUUUUCAGAGAGAACAUGCAAAUCAGAAUAAAUUUAAAGUUAGGUUUUUCUGUUACUAAAUAAUUGAUGGUUGCAAAGCAGCUAUUAGGUUUAUGAGAUUAAUACAAAUACCUCUACAUAUAAAAACCAGUUUGUAAUUAAUUUUCCUUUCCUUUUUCUACCCCCCCCCCCAAAGAAGCUUUAUGUGUUAGACAGUGUAAGAAUGUUCAUUUAAGUUUCCAGUAAUUUUUACAAUAACCUAGCCUAGUAACUGUCUACCAGUUACCCCUUGUAUGUUGCACAGGAAACUUUACAUGCUUGCUAAUGAUAAAAUCUAUUUUAAUGUGAAUUGUAACUUUUAAUUUUGAGAAAAACAUAUAUAUAUAUAUAUAUAUAUACACACUAUGUACUGUAUUUUGAAUAUUUGGAAUUAUUUUUGAUUGUUAUUUCAUUAUCACCUUUGUACAUUUGACAUUAAAUGCAAGCAGAUUUGACCUAAAAAUCAUCUUCUACACCCUUUUCAGACUUUUGGUGUACAUUCAGAGGACCUAAAUAUAGAGAGUUUUGAACUGCUAAUGAUCCAUCCAACAUUAUCUAUAGACAGGAUGGAGCACAGUCACUGAAAUGUCAUACAGAUUUGAGUUUUGAGAUUUCAGUGUGCUUUCUUCUAAUGUGUCAAAAUCAUUAUUUCUGUUCUGCAUUGAAACCUUAAAUGGAUAAAUGGUUGCAAAUGAACUUUGGGAACCUAAUGUUCAUUUGUUUAUUUAAAGAUCAUGCCUUUCUUUCACAACCCCACUUGAAAAUUCAGGAGAAUUAAAUUUAUUUUUCAGGAUCUCCUCAGUAAAUUUCCUGCCAUGGAGCUGUUUCCUAAGCUUUGAUAGAACAUUCCACAGCUGAAACCUGAAAGGUGUGGCAGGAUUUUUUGAAGAUGCUGUGAGGGACAGUGACACUCAAAGGUGUCACAGGAAGUGUGAAUAUGGAAGGUGGUCAGUUCACUGCCUCAUUUUUGAGAGUCCUUUGCACCAGCAGAACACAGGGCCUGUAGAAAUUAGCAGCAGGCUUCUUACUUGAGAAAUGGAUAAUAAGAAUGCAUGUUAGGUUUCUAAACAUCAGGGGAUCUGGUUCACAAAGCCGUGUCCAAGGCACUGCUUGAGGUCCAGGUCAGUUUGACUAAUUUCAUUCCAUACUGUAAGAUGUGUAAUUGCCUGUAAAUACCUCAGAGAUAGGUUGGUGGCGUUCUGUGAAUAAUUAAAAUAAAUACACACAAAAUUUAGUUUUAAUAGCAUUUUGAAGAUAGAAUCAUAUUCUUGCCCCCAAUGCACUUUCUCUGAUAUGCAGAGCAUCAAGGUCUCUAAAAAGAAAUCUGCCUUUCAUGGGCUAAAAUAACUUCUAGCUUGUGUUAUAAUAAAGAACCAGCAUGCACCAGAGGAAAUUGGAGAGAUUUUAAAUAUUCCAAAGCAAAGUCGAGCAGGAGCCACAGGGUGCCGCUAUUCUGCCAAAUAAGGAACAUUUCCUGCAUUUAAUUGCCCGGUGAAUUUGGGACAGAAGGAAAAGUUGCGGCGAUAACCUCGCAAGAGCUCAGGAGUGAUUUUGCAUCCCGACGACUCCCCUUGGGUAAUUUUAGGGGGUGUAGUGCGACUGCUCGACUGCAAUCAGUGAAGUGAUUAAAAUGAGGAGUGAAAUUCCUCAGAAUGACAGAAGGGAGUGAAACACAGAGGCAGAGCCAGACAAGCUCCAAACAACUCUUCCUUUCUGCUCUUAACGCCACACAAAAUUCGGAUCAGAUGCUGUAGUCUAUGGUUUAAUUAGUGUGUGCUGUAUUUAGACAGGCUCCUAACAUUUUGAAGUUGAUCCCCCCAAGAUCUGGAAGCUCCACCUGUUCUGGUGUUUUACACACAGAGUUCCUAAUUUAAAAUCUUGCCUAAUUCCUGAGCUGCAAAUGCCUUCUUGGCAGCCUUGUCCUUCUGUACCUGGGAGAAGAUGAGGUUAAGUAUUAAAUUUUCCAGCAUUGCUUAAAGAAAAACUGGUCUGCACUGACUGAGUAAAUGUGUAUUGAAGUGGCCUGACAGAUAAUGACUCUCUUGGUCAACAGAAAUUAUUUAUUCUAUUGCUUUAAAACCAGAGCUGCAAGUACCUUGUUAGGGAAAUUGUGGUGCCUUGCAGUUGCUUCUUGUAGUAACCCCAAAGUGAUUAAGUGCUUCUUCAUCUUUAUACUGAUUUUGUAAUGCCUUGCAGUGAUAAUUUUGAAGAAUAGCAGUUUCUCCUGCUUUUUAAUAGCUACCUUGCUGAGGAGAAUGUAAUUACUUUUCCCUAACUUGCUGUAAAAAUAUGACAAAUAGAAGAUUGUCCUACCUCAGCUCACUGCAGUACCUGAAUUUUUUGGAUUUAUUAAUUUCUGUGGUUUACACUUCUCAACUAAGAACUGGAACCUGCCUCCCAUAUCUUCUACUGAGAUUCUAAACUAGGAAUGGAAACCAGGCCUCAGCACCUCCUCAUGGCAUUUUUUUAUUUUUAAAUUACAAAAAAAUACAUUUCAAGUAACUUUGCAGUGGGUAGAACACUGUCAAAUAUACUUCCAAAACAGCUGCUAGGAAAAAGUCAUGGAGUGCAAGAGAGUGGGAUUAGCUGGGCUAAAAUAUACCAGAACCACCUAUGUGGUAUUUGGGAUUCAGAACUUAAGGGGUGGUGAACACUAGAAUAAGAAUUGAAGCACAAACAGAUAAAAUUAUUUUAAUCUUGCACUUAUUCCUAUUUAAAUAUAUAAUUACCUUCUUUAUAAACUCCCCACCUGUCUCCAGAAUUAAACAUAAAUAUAAUUAAGAAAGAUUUUAUUUGUCUGUAUUCAGUAACAUACAGUAUUUCUAGUAUAAUUCAAUAAAAUUCUGCAAACUUCCCCACUCCUCCAAAACUAUUAGGCAAAUGUUAGAAGAGUACUACUGAAAAUAAUGAAUGUAGCAAUUACAAACCAUUAUAGAUUCCAUGGGCACACGAUUUCAUCUGCUGAAAGUAAUCAGACAUACAAAAACAGUGAGAAAAAUGUUGUUCGUAUUAUUUAUUUGACCAGUUUUUCAGACAAUUUACAGCCAAAGAAAAUGUCUGCAAGCCUGAUGUCAUUCUGC